rnacentral:rRNA from 1 species
ACAGGGAUUGCCCUAGUAACGGCGAGUGAAGCGGCAACAGCUCAAAUUUGAAAUCUGGCCUCGGCCCGAGUUGUAAUUUGCAGAGGAUGCUUCUGGCGCGGUGCCUUCCGAGUUCCCUGGAACGGGACGCCACAGAGGGUGAGAGCCCCGUAUGGUCGGACACCAAGCCUGUGUGAAGCUCCUUCGACGAGUCGAGUAGUUUGGGAAUGCUGCUCUAAAUGGGAGGUAAAUCUCUUCUAAAGCUAAAUACCGGCCAGAGACCGAUAGCGCACAAGUAGAGUGAUCGAAAGAUGAAAAGCACCUUGAAAAGGGGGUUAAAUAGUACGUGAAAUUGUUGAAAGGGAAGCACUUAUGACCAGACUUGGGCCGGGCGGCUCAUCAGGGGUUCUCCCCUGUGCACUCCGCCCGGCACAGGCCAGCAUCGGUUUUCGCGGGGGGAUAAGACCGGCGGGAACGUAGCACCCUCCGGGGUGUGUUAUAGCCCGCCGGACGAUACCCUCGCGGGGACCGAGGUCCGCGCUCCGCAAGGAUGCUGGCGUAAUGGUCAUCAGUGACCCGUCUUGAAACACGGACCAAGGAGUCGUCCAUUAGAGCGAGCGUUUGGGUGUAAAACCCGCACGCGUAAUGAAAGUGAACGCAGGUGAGAGCUUCGGCGCAUCAUCGACCGAUCCUGAUGUCCUCGGAAGGAUUUGAGUAAGAGUUUUAACGGACGGACCCGAAAGACAGUGAACUAUGCUUGUAUAGGGUGAAGCCAGAGGAAACUCUGGUGGAGGCUCGCAGCGGUUCUGACGUGCAAAUCGAUCGUCAAAUAUGAGCAUGGGGGCGAAAGACUAAUCGAAC